ensembl:lncRNA
AAUAUUGUCAUGCUUUUUUGUUCAUAUGAUAAUGCUAAAUGUAGCAAAACUGCGCAGGAUUUUAGAACGUGCGACAUUUUACAAACGGCGCCCCAUACACUGGCACUUAUCAUGGGUAUCGGAUUUGAAUCGUGUGGCAAAUCACCCAGUACAAAGCUGAUUCCUGUGCAGACAUCUUUUAUUUUCCCGCUCGGACGUUAGGACUUGGAUAAAGGAAGCAUGCCGCAACUGGGUUGCAUAAUAAAUAUAUGCAGCAAUGCUGACACUUUAAAUUGCUACUUCCACCUUUUUCACCCAUUUUUCAAACAUUUUCCCCUUAUCUUCAGGCAGGAACUGCCAUCCCACUGAACAAUCCUUCUCAAUAGGCUCCCUACGGUCCUCUAUUUGGGGCCUUCCAUGUCUCCUUUGUGUGCUGAAAUGAGUGCCCUACAUUUGGAAAUGCCACAUCAGGUCUAUUGUUGUUUGUCAAAUCAAUUUGAGAAUUUGGUGAAAGCCGGCCCUCUCCCAAAGACUUCUUCUGCCUCAUUGAGCUCCGUCGGUGUGAGUGUUAAAACACAGGCUCUUUGGAGGGAGGAAUUCCGUGUUCCGGAUUUUGUCUCUAGUUCAGUUCCUUCGAAAAGGGACUGUUGGUGUUUUACUGUGCUCUGACAGGAAGAGAAGACUUCGCGCACAGCACAUUCUGCACAAAAGGACACAUCGGUUCACAGUUCCGGUUCCUAAAUUCUGAUUCCAAAGAAGUGAUUCAGAACUUAAAAUAUAAAUUUUGCUCACCUGUUUAUAAACGCCUAAGCUAACACGUGUAGCGGUAUCUAUUGCCAAAAGCAUUAUGUUGACCACUUACUGACAGGCUGUCACGUCGUAUUUGGUAGCAAUCGAUUACUUUUGAUUUCCACCACUCGUUGGUGGCCCCAGGCCCACAAUGGAGGGUUCAACACACCCAGGGCAUUAUUAUUUCAAUUUCAAGAAAAUCCAAUUGACAUAAAAGCACUCGCUCAGUUUGUGUGGUUUAUAAUAAUUACAUUAGCACUGUUAACAACAUAUUGUUUUCUAGAGGAAGUGUGCUUGUUGGUUACGUUUCGUUAAUAAACUUCUCUUCCUCUUGAGUUACGUGGCCAUUGAAUUGUCCUCUGACAGGUGAAGAGCCUUGAUCCAGGAGCGAUAUCAAGAGCUCUGACACCAUGGGGGGAUCCAGGUGUUUUUUUGGUACCUGUUAGUUCUCUCAGUGUGCACAUAUCUAGAGUCAGUAAAGGAAGCUAGCACUAGCUAUUAUACAAACCUAAUUUCAUCCUCGAUGAAAAAUCCUAAAAUUUAGUUUGCCAAUUUAACUGUUUCACCAUCUGUUAUUGCACAAAUAGAAAAGUGUGGAAAUAAUUUAGUUCUGAAAACCGAGCCUUCUACAGCCUGUGAAACACAACAUGUCAUCUGUGCAGAUUAAAUAUUGAGUACGAUUUAACCUCAUUUAAGAGGGGGUUAGUCAUGAGUAAAACGUCUAGGAUUGUGUACAUUAUAUCUACAGUCGACGCACACACAUAGCAAAGCUUUCUUUACUAUCUACUGCACACGCUCUUUGUAUUCCGUAAGCGCUGAUAUUAAAAAGCUUUUCAAACCCUACUACAGCUCUCUCCAAGUUAUCUUCAUCUCUUUUUCAUGCUCUCCUUUUCUCCACUUUUAAUCUCAAAUUGUUCUCUCUCUCUCUCUCACUCAUCUCCCUUGCCGUGCUCCCUCUGUUUCUCCACGAGAUGCCUUUCACUCUCAUAUACACAAUCACACAGAGAAAUUUGGAUUUCCAGCUUUUUUCAAAUGCUGAAUUAUUAAGAGAGACCAUUUUAAGCAGUUUCUCUUCAUCGCUGCCAAAACACAAUCUGCAUUUCAACUGUGAGAAGAGUAGCGCGUGUGAGCCGGCAAAGAAAAAAACAGGGAAAAGAAAUUAGGGCAGUGAUUUGAAAUUCUAUUUAUGCAUAAAAAGAAAGUUGAAAACAUUGUUAACAGACAUAAAUCAUUCUAAGUGUGUGUUUUUUUUUUUUUUUGCUGGGUGGCAUCACUAAGUAAGUUUGACAGCGCGUUAGCAUUUGUGCAUUUUCAUGUGAGUUUAUUGCUGUGGCCGCCCGUAUGAUGUGUACACAAUAUGUCUCCCACUGCACAUGGGUCCUUUUGUUGUGACUGCAAAUUGAUUUUGCCUGCCUUUUGUUUAUUUGUUUCAAGCAUUAGCCUGCCAAGAGGGUCCCAGGACCCUCUUCAAAUUACGCCAGAUUUAUUUUGUGGCAUUUCACAACUGGACACAACUUUGUUCAUUCUCUAGCAAAGUCAAUCACCUCGAACUAAUUUUAUGGUGCAAAACACAUUGAAAGCCCAUUUCCUCAAUAGAUAUAGUCUCUCAUCGUUGCGUUGAUGUAAUUGCAGUGCAUAUGCCCAGUUGCAAAGCAAUCUCAUGACUUUCUGUUUCCUUCUGUACAAAACUGUGCACUCUACAUCACAUCGAUGAGGGAAGAUUAACAUAUACUUUGUAUAUACAUUUGUAGUCAAAGGUUUGGACGCAUUUUCUCAUCCAAUUCAGUGCAAACUUUUGUGUGAUGUGUUCCUGCUCUAUUUUUCUUGUUUUUUAUUUUUUUUUCGAUCCGGUUACUUCCGCUGCAGCUUUGACCCACUUUCCUCAUAAAUCAAGCUUGUGUUAGUUAUGGCAGGCACUUAAGUUGUGUGCACCGCAUGAGCUGACCGUGAGCCGAUCUAAGCAACCUGCAAUAAUGUUUGGCAUCUUAACAUCGUGUCCUGCUGUAAGCAGCCGUUACUAUAUUCUGCUGAAUACGUACAGUGAGCUCAGGAUCUGUACUGCUAAACAUCUUUAUAAAAUAUUGAACUUGAUGCUGACUACUACUUACAGAAGGAUCAUUAUGUUUUUCUCAUCUUUUCUGAUAUAAAUGUUUUCUCACUCAAGGCAACAUACUCACAACCCGUAAAAUUUGGUGCGUUGCAUUUUACUGAACGCACUCCAUAAAAAGUGUCUUGUUUUUGACACAAACACACACAAAAUAACCUAAAUCUGUGAAUCAUGGUUUGGGAUAUAAAAGAGAGCUUAAAAUGGCUAUCACACAGAACAGGCAUGUUUAUCCCAUUAUAUUAUCCCUUACAGCUCACCCUUAACCCGGUUCACUGCCCCCUCAAAAACCUUUUUUUGGAAUGCAUAGAUCCUUAGAAAUGGCAACCUUGGCGAUAGGACGGCUUUCAUGCGGGGAUGUUGGUGGGUUAAAGACACUGAUUACCCUGAUCGCUUUAGAAACAAUUAAGCUAUUAGAAGAUAUUUUGGAACCUACAAGGAGCCCUAUAAAUGAUUUGGAAGCUGCAUUAUAUAAUAUAUUAGAUGAAGCCAACUAACCUUCACUAUAUAUAUAUAUAUAUAUAUGCACAGUAUAUUACACUUCAUUGGAGUUCAACCAAUUAAGCAGUGUGGCCCGAUAAAGUCUCCAUUUCAACAUUAACAAGUCGUGGUGAUCUUGUGUUUUUUGCUAUUAAUGCUGCUAGCGUUGGCUGGUCCACAGGAUGAUGCAUUGUGGGAGUAUUGAUGAAGUGAGUUAAAGCGGUUAUAAAAGUACAACGUCGGUCCGAUAAUGGCAACUGCUGUUUGUCGCCUUCUUCGAAACGGCAAUGCAGCUUAGCUUACUUUGUUUACCUGAAGGCCCAUCUGCUCUGAUGAUCCACUUCAGUCGCUGGUUAUUCUGUGUGCGUAGAUUUAAAUGACAAACCCGGAAGGCCCACGUGUAGAGCAAAUGGUCAAACUGUACAGCUGUUGAUCAGAGAGCAUAAAACGUUUGGCGUAAUAAAACGCAUAAAACGUUUGGCGUUGCUGCUUUUUGCAUUAUGUGUAGUUAAGUUAUACUUCAUUAUCAAUGAAGAAGCUGUUUAGGUUUGUAUUGAUAUUACAAUUAAUGACAUUGUGACAUCACAAGUAAUUGUACUGUUUAAACAGCUGAUAUGAAGACUUUAAUCAAUUUCAUAUAAAAAGGUGAAUAACAUAGUCCAUUUAAUCAUCUAAACUAUGAAAGUGUAAUUUUUACAGAUAUUAAACAAUAUUUACAGUGUUUUACCUAGAUAAUAACAGUUCUCACAAUCAAUGCUGAUACAGUGGUUAAUGACCUACUGUAUAUAAAAUAAGUAAAUACCUAGAUUGUCAAUUCAUCCCCGGUCCAUGUAUUGUUAACAUUUUUAAUUGUGCUUGUUAUUCACGCUAGAACUGCUGCUCACUCUGCGUAUAUAGAGAGCGAAUUCAGGCACAUUCAGUAUGAGGACAGUAAAUUUAACUGUGUGUAAACAUGCUCUGGUUGAAACUCAAAAUACAGGUAUAAACCUAAAAAGGCUGUAAUAUAUAUGCUGUAAUAUAUAUAUAUAU